rnacentral:rRNA from 1 species
UCUGUGACGAAUAUGACGGUAGCAGAUGAAUAAGGAUCGGCUAACUCCGUGCCAGCAGCCGCGGUCAUACGGAGGAUCCAAGCGUUAUCCGGAAUUACUGGGCGUAAAGAGUUGCGUAGGUGGCAUUGUAAGCGAGUAGUGAAAGCGUUCGGCUCAACCGGAUAAACAUUACUUGAACUGCAAAGCUAGAGGAUGAGAGAGGUUAUUGGAAUUCCUAGUGUAGGAGUGAAAUCCGUAGAUAUUAG